GUCUUUUUGAGUUAUAUUUAAAGUCUAACCUGCCCACUGAAAAUUUUUGAAUGGCCGCAGUAAUUUGACUGUGCAAAGGUAGCAUAAUCAUUAGUUUUUUAAUUAAAAGCUUGUAUGAAAGGUUGAACGAAGUAAAAUCUGUCUCUAUUUAAUUAAAUUUAGAAUUUAAUUUUUAAGUUAAAAAGCUUAAAUAUUUGUAAAAGACGAGAAGACCCUAUAGAGCUUUAUAAUUUAUUAAAUAUAAUUAUUUAAGAUUAUUUUAAGUUUUAUUAUAUAAAUUAUUUUAUUGGGGUAAUAUAAAGAUUUAAAUAAUUCUUUUUUUUUAUUAACACUAAUUUGUGAUAUAAUGAUCCAUUUUUAUUGAUUAAAAGAUUAAGUUACCUUAGGGAUAACAGCGUAAUUUUUUUAAAGAGUUCAUAUCGAUAAAAAAGUUUGCGACCUCGAUGUUGGAUUAAAGAUUAGUUUAGGUGUAGAAGUUUAAAUUUUUGGUCUGUUCGACCAUUAAAUCUUUACA
rnacentral:rRNA from 1 species